CGCUGGGGCUGGGCGCUCGUCUUGGGGCGGUGUCAGACACCGACUCGCUUAGCUUGGAGGGCGCCUCGGACAGAAUCGUCUCCGUCCUGUGACCGAACAUCACCGUGUCACUCACACCAUGGCACCCAGUGCCCUGUCCAGUCUUUCCUCCAGUCACCAUUCCGUCACCUCCCUGAGCAGCCCAUUUCAGUGUGUCCGAUCAUACUUUAUGUGGAGAAGUUACGCCUGAUGUCCAACCUUAACCUCCCCUGGUGCAGCUGGAGGCCGUUUCCUCCUGUCCUGUUGCUAUUGCCAGGGAGAAGAGGCUGAUCCUCACCUGCCCACAUGCUCCUGUCAGACCACGGAGGAAGUCCUUUAGCUGUGACAUUGUAAUGGGAGGUGGAGACACCUCAAGGAGAAGGUCGAGACAGGCAACAGCAAUUACAGUCAAUAACAUCCUGACUUGCCUCGAUUACAGUGCUGAGUGUUCAAGCCCUCAAGACAAUCAACAGUGAGUAUUUCCAAGUCCUGUUUCUUUAAAAAGUUCAUAAAACUUGUCACAGUACCCUAGUAAAGCUCUUUCUGCUGUGCUAUUUAAUCCAAAGUAGUUUGUAUCAGAUUUAUGUUCUGGCAGCUCUGUGAUAAACUUGGACUCUACCACACUGCAAACACAAAAGAUUACUUAAACUUGUUCUUAUUGAAUUUGAAGGACUCUUUUGUUUCAUGGAUCCACACCCUCC